CCCCAUCCCGCCCCGGCCGUACCUCACCCUGCCCGCAAGGGUGGUCUGUACGUGCUGCUGGAACUCAGGGUACUUGCCAGCCAGUUACGACGAGUCCCUCUCCAGCUUCCCAGUAGCCCCCCUGGAAGCUUGCUGGGAGGUCUCCACAGAACCUCCAGGAUGAACAGACCCCAUUUCCUCAGCUUGUCAUCGUACUGGAGGUGCCCCAGUCCUCUCAUCAACCUCGUGGCUUCCUCUGGACUGUCUCCAACUGUUCCAUGUCCUCCUUAUGCUGGGGGACCAGAGCUGGACCCCACGCAGUUAUAAUGCUUUUUAAAUCUACCAAGAAAGUGAACCAUGUUUUUCACAAGGCUCAGAAGCAGCACCAUGAGGAACCUCCACUCCCAUCUUCACAUAUAUUAACCACCCAAAUCACCUUUAUUACCCUGAAAGAGUCUUCAGCAUUGCCUGAAACACUUCAUAGCCAUGGAUUUCUGUAAAACUCCUGCAUGAAGCCACAACCAAGAAGUGGCCUGGGGCCUGCUGCUUGUGGCUUACCUUGUGCCACAAGCUUUGCAACACAUGGAUUUUAAAUUAUGUAUUAAAUGGUUUGA